rnacentral:rRNA from 1 species
UGGGGAAUAUUGCACAAUGGGCGCAAGCCUGAUGCAGCCAUGCCGCGUGUGUGAAGAAGGCCUUCGGGUUGUAAAGCACUUUCAGCGGGGAGGAAGGCGUUAAGGUUAAUAACCUUGGCGAUUGACGUUACCCGCAGAAGAAGCACCGGCUAACUCCGUGCCAGCAGCCGCGGUAAUACGGAGGGUGCAAGCGUUAAUCGGAAUUACUGGGCGUAAAGCGCACGCAGGCGGUUUGUUAAGUCAGAUGUGAAAUCCCCGGGCUCAACCUGGGAACUGCAUCUGAGACUGGCAAGCUUGAGUCUCGUAGAGGGGGGUAGAAUUCCAGGUGUAGCGGUGAAAUGCGUAGAGAUCUGGAGGAAUACCGGUGGCGAAGGCGGCCCCCUGGACGAAGACAGACGCUCAGGUGCGAAAGCGUGGGGAGCAAACAGG